GGCAGCGUAGCUCAGGGGUUAGAGCAACCGGCUCAUAAUCGGUAGGUCAGUGGUUCGAAUCCACUCGCUGCUACCA
rnacentral:tRNA from 1 species